GAUGAAGAACGUAGUGAAAUGCGAUAAGUAAUGUGAAUUGCAGAAUUCAGUGAAUCAUCGAAUCUUUGAACGCACCUUGCGCCCUUUGGCUAUUCUGAAGGGCAUGCCUGUUUGAGUAUCGUGAACACCUCAACUCUCAUGGUCUGCCAUGAUGAGCUUGGACUUUGGGGGUCUUGCUGGCCUACUGUCAGCUCCUCUCAAAUGAAUCAGCUUACCAGUGUUUGGUGGCACCACAGGUGUGAUAACUAUCUACGCUUGUGGUUUUCUGCCAGGUAACCUCCAGUGAUGGAGGUUCGCUGGAGCUCACAAAUGUCUCUCCUCAGCGAGGACAGCUUUUUGAACGUUUGAUCUCAAAUCAGGUAGGACUACCCGCUGAACUUAAGCAUAUCAAUAAGCGGAGGA
rnacentral:misc_RNA from 1 species